UGCGGGGGGAGCAAGCGUUGUUCGGAUUUACUGGGCGUAAAGGGCGGGUAGGCGGCCACCGCAAGUCAGUUGUGAAAUCUCUGGGCUUAACCCAGAAAGGUCAACUGAUACUGCGGGGCUAGAGUGCAGAAGGGGCAACUGGAAUUCUCGGUGUAGCGGUGAAAUGCGUAGAUAUCGAGAGGAACACCUGCGGCGAAGGCGGGUUGCUGGGCCGACACUGACGCUGGAGGCGCGAAAGCUAGGGGAGCGAACGGG
rnacentral:rRNA from 1 species